GACAACUUCUCGAUAUGAUUGGAGAAUUUUAUGGCUAGUUGAAUAUUUGUUAUAUAUGAUGAUUUUAAACACAUUGAUCGGAUCCCUUUAUAGAACCUUGCAUCCGAAACCAUUGAAUUUGAAUCAAAUAAAUAUACAUAUUAAAAAAAAAAUGACUGAUUUUCCUAUAAUGAUAAUUGAUGGGAAAAAUAAAUAAUAUAAAAAGAUGAACCAAACUUUCUUCAGCUCCUUACUCUAUUUUGUGUCCAUUAUUUCACUUCACAUUUGUUGAAAGUAAUAACGAAAGCAACCUGAGAUGCAAUAUUCCAUUCAUAUUCUGUCGGGCUUAGUCUACAAUACACCUCAAAGCUCAAUUAACUGGCCCAUUAGCUUACGACCUAAAACCUGAAGACCAAGAGAUAUAGAUAAGUAAAUUAUUACUAGGUGGAAAAUAAAGAAUAAACAAUUUUGGUGGCACCGACAAGCACCAAAUUUCCAACCACUACUCCCAUGUAACCAUCAUAACAAAACACCAAAGAAGAUCCUCCUUGGCUCCUUCUUCUUUCCUUUGUAUAAAUAAUAUAAAAAUAAAUAAAAACUAUUAGCAGAAAAGUCUACUCUAGUCUCUAGACAUGCUAUCAAAAUCAAAUAAAACAAUGUGAACUAAUGAAAAACAUGUAGUUUUUUUUUUUAACAGAAAAAGAGUUCUGUAAUAACUAAAUGCUUUUUGUUGUUAAAUAGUUAAGAAAGUGAUUGUUGCAUUAGAGAUUGUCAAAUUAUAAAACCUGCCGAAAAUCUAGUGUAUUAUCUAGUAGUAAACUGCCGUUACAAAUAACAUUUGGAAGACCUAUUGCUACUACUCGUGGCGGGUUUAGUUUUUUUUUUUCACUUUAUUUAACAAAUAUUUAUUGUCGACUAUUCAUUCGUCGAGAAAAAAAAAACAAUUUGGAAAAACAAAACCAAACUUAGUUAGUAAGAAGCACUUUCCAUUAUUAUCUACCUCUCUUCCCCACCAAUUUCAUAAGUAUCACACAAUAAUAGUUAGUAUGUUCAAUAAUACCACUGCCUUCGGCUCCGGCGCCGGCGCCGUCGUCCCGACUUCCUCCGCUACAGUUCCCACCACCGUCUUCCCCGGCACAACCAUCACUUCCAAUUCCACCUUCAUCAUCAUCGGACCUCCUCCACCGUUCCCGGCGUCUCCCCGGAGCAU
rnacentral:lncRNA from 1 species